rnacentral:lncRNA from 1 species
CUACGGAGAAGAGUAAUCACAAUGCUCAUCAAGGAUGCUGGAGCUCCCGUCACAAACUUUUUUCUCAAAGUAUUGGUGAAAGAGGCGGUCACUGUUGGGGCAGUAUAGAAGACGACAGAUGAUUGUCGGUUCCAGAUUUUCAGCCCAUAAUUCUAACGAGCAAAGAGUUUUCUGACAAGCAGCAUCCUUUCUAUACUUUGACGGACAAUCUAAUCUCCAGGAAGAGCCUCAGUUCUUCAGUAGAUCAAAGCUGUACCUUCCACACUCAGUGGCUGCUGAACCUGAGAGAAAAAUGUGACCGAUACAGGAAGACAGUGCAGGGUGUCAAGACUUUUUCCAGAGAGAGGAAACUAGAG